AUAACUUAAGGCCUAGUUGUGUCUUCAUCUCUAAACCCUGUCUGGGAAACUGCCCCUAUAUCAAUGAGUACGUUUACAUGCACAAAAUAAACGGAUAACUAUCAAAAAUCUGCUUAUUAUAAAAAACUGUUUUUUAUGCGUUUACAUGUAAAUCAAUAAACCGGCUAUGCAGACAACUGUGUUUACAUGGGACUUGGAGAUUUGUCAGGUUUCUCGCAGACUCAGCUGAAUCUAAAGAAAGACACCGAAAGCCUACAAGAACCUACAAUGAAAAUGAACUGGUUGUAGAUGAUGGUCACAGAUGUUCAGGAGUGGGCUCACACUACAACUGUAGGAGACAGUGAUGUUGCAAUUCAGACAACAAGGAACACAAUAGAAGAAUUAUCUUUGUGCAUUAAACAACGGCAGCAUCGUCUUUAUAGACACACUGUUAACCCCUGGAAUCUUCCAGAUGAUGGGAUUCAAGGACUUCAAUGUGUGUUGAAGAGAAAAUUACAUCAGCUAAGAGCUCACCAGGGCACUGUAAAAACAAGUUAUCAGACAAUAGACAUCAUAAACGAACAUAUUACUGUUGAAGAAUGUAAAUAUCCCAGCUGGCCAUAAGACUCAGAAGCCCUUUAUUCAAGCAGUGCUGAUCUGAGCUCUGAUGAAGAUGAUACAUGUCUGCUGUAGUUAUUUACUAAAUAUGUUGCAGUUUUUUUUCUUUCACUUUAUCUAUUACUCUUCUUUCUCCAUCAGUCUUCUCUUUUUUUUAGUUUUUCGCUCUGAUUGCAUGUGUGCUUGCCUUAUACCAUGGGAGAUGAAAUAUUAACUUUUUAAUAAAGGAUGGAUUAAAAUGUUAAUUUGGGUUUUUCUGAUGGGAUUUACAGACAUAUAUCCUGUGCAUUUUUACAGACAUGUCCUACAGUGGAUUGCUGGGAUUGGGGGCUGUAAGAGUAGUUUUGAGAAAUGUUUCUAUUUUGUGUGUAACAGAAGAUUAUUUCCAAAUCUAAACAGUGAUAAAUAAAAAGUAAUGAUAUGUACUCGUUACUUGCUGUAUUCUUUAAAAAAAAUGCUUUAAAUUGUAAAUUCAUAUAAAUAAUGUACAUGCAUGCGUGUACACUAUUACUAAAGUGUAAAUUGGGAGACAAACAUUACAAUGUUCAAUUCUUUGUGACAUUAAUAAAUAAAUUACAAACAAGGAUU